AGCGCAGGUGGUUGUAUAAGUCUGAAGUAAAAGGCAGUGGCUCAACCAUUGUGUGCUUUGGAAACUGUACAACUUGAGUGCAGAAGGGGAGAGUGGAAUUCCAUGUGUAGCGGUGAAAUGCGUAGAUAUAUGGAGGAACACCGGUGGCGAAAGCGGCUCUCUGGUCUGUAACUGACACUGAGGCUCGAAAGGCUGGGGAGCAAACA
rnacentral:rRNA from 1 species